rnacentral:rRNA from 1 species
CCUACGGGAGGCAGCAGUGGGGAAUAUUGGGCAAUGGGCGCAAGCCUGACCCAGCAACGCCGCGUGAAUGAAGAAGGCUUUCGGGUUGUAAACUUCUUUUGUCAGGGAAGAGUAGAAGACGGUACCUGACGAAUAAGCCACGGCUAACUACGUGCCAGCAGCCGCGGUAAUACGGAGGUGGCACGCGUUCUCCGUAUUUACUGGGGGAAAGGGGCGUGUAGCCGCGUUGACAAGUCAGAUGUGAAAUCCUGCGGCUUAACCGCAGAACUGCAUUUGAAACUGUUGAUCUUGAGUACUGGAGAGGCAGACGGAAUUCCUAGUGUAGCGGUGAAAUGCGUAGAUAUUAGGAGGAACACAAGUGGCGAAGGCGGUCUGCUGGACAGCAACUGACGGUGAGGCGCGAAAGCGUGGGGAGCAAACAGGAUUAGAUACCCUGUAGUC